rnacentral:rRNA from 1 species
UACGAAGGGGGCUAGCGUUGUUCGGAUUUACUGGGCGUAAAGCGCGUGUAGGCGGGUCGUUAAGUUGGGGGUGAAAUCCCGAGGCUCAACCUCGGAACUGCCUUCAAAACUGGCGACCUAGAGUGUGAUAGAGGCGAGUGGAAUUCCGAGUGUAGAGGUGAAAUUCGUAGAUAUUCGGAGGAACACCGGUGGCGAAGGCGGCUAUCUGGACUGUGAUUGACGCUGAGGCGCGAAAGCGUGGGGAGCAAACAGG